rnacentral:rRNA from 1 species
GACGAACGCUGGCGGCGUGCUUAACACAUGCAAGUGGAGCGACGAACCAGGGCUUGCCCUGGGGCAGAGCCGCGAACGGGUGAGUAACACGUGGGUAACGUGCCCCGAUGACUGGGACAACCCGGGGAAACCCGGGCUAAUACCGGAUGUGCCCCCUCACAUCAGUGAGGUGUGUAAAGGAAGCUUCGGCCUCCGCAUCGGGAUUGGCCCGCGGCCCAUUAGCUUGUUGGUGAGGUAACGGCUCACCAAGGCUGCGAUGGGUAGCUGGUCUGAGAGGACGAUCAGCCACACUGGGACUGAGACACGGCCCAGACUCCUACGGGAGGCCGCAGUGGGGAAUCUUGCGCAAUGCGCGAAAGCGUGACGCAGCAACGCCGCGUGGGGGAAGACGGCCUUCGGGUUGUAAACCCCUUUCAGUUGGGACGAAGGUCGGGCGGUUAACAGCCGUUCCGGCUGACGGUACCUUCACAAGAAGCCCCGGCUAACUACGUG